AUGGCAAAGUGUCUCGCCGUCGCGCUCCUGCUGCUGGUGGUGCUCGCGUCAUGCGAAGGGAGGGAGCUGAAUGAGAAGGUUGCAGCGACGCGUGGCGCAGGUGCGGGUGGUGGCGUCGGCGAGUCUAAGGCGUUGGACUUGCCUUUGCUCGGGGGAACCGGUACGGGAACCAGCACCAUUACCGGCCCGCUGGUGGUGCUUCCUGGGAUCCCUGCUAUUGGCCCAUGA
rnacentral:rRNA from 1 species